rnacentral:rRNA from 1 species
AACGAACGCUGGCGGCAUGCCUAACACAUGCCAGUCGAACGAGGCCUUCGGGUCUAGUGGCGCACGGGUGCGUAACGCGUGGGAACCUGCCCUUAGGUUCGGAAUAACUCCCCGAAAGGGGUGCUAAUACCGGAUAAUGUCUUCGGACCAAAGAUUUAUCGCCUUUGGAUGGGCCCGCGUUGGAUUAGCUAGUUGGUAGGGUAAAAGCCUACCAAGGCGACGAUCCAUAGCUGGUCUGAGAGGAUGAUCAGCCACACUGGGACUGAGACACGGCCCAGACUCCUACGGGAGGCAGCAGUGGGGAAUAUUGGACAAUGGGCGAAAGCCUGAUCCAGCAAUGCCGCGUGAGUGAUGAAGGCCUUAGGGUUGUAAAGCUCUUUUACCCGGGAUGAUAAUGACAGUACCGGGAGAAUAAGCUCCGGCUAACUCCGUG